UUUAGAUACUUCAGAAAUAAUGUUUUUUCAUCAUUAUAAGGACCAUUAGGGUAAACACAAAGCUUAAGAGACGUAAGUCCCUGACAUGACAAAAUGCGGGGAAAAAUGAUACCUUGCUCUUGCUCUCUUGGUGUUGGGUGGAAUCAUUGAGAACACGAAUUUGAGAAAAAAUAAAUAAAAUCUCAGCAAAGUCAUGGUAGAUUACAAUUGAAAAAAAAGAAAAGUUGAGAAAAUACCGUGAAAUUGAAAUUGAAAUUAACGUACUUUUGAAAAGAACGGUAGAGAAGGUUUACCGAGAGUUGGGGUCAUACAGCAAGUUUUGUAUUUCUAGGGUUCUUAUUUUUAUUUUUUUGCUCGGAGGAAAAAUGUGUUAAGUUUGCGAUGUGAACAACAAGUAACUAAAAUUAAAGUUGUUUAAUAAUUUUUACUUAAAAAAAAAAGUUUUUUUUUUUUACAUACUUAAAAAAAAAGUUUAAAAGUUGUUUUUAAUUAUAGUUUUGAAUUCUCGCGCGUCUUAUUUUUACUUAUCCGCUACUACAAUUGCGAGCCUUAUUUUUACUCGUUCGCUGCUUAAUGGGAACAAGCAUAGUUCACAUCACAAUCUCUUUGAGGGUCCGUUGAGGUAUAAAACUGCAUGUACGUUUAAAAUCGAGAGUAUGCAGUGCAGUUGAGGUAUCAAGAAGAGUUAAAAUCUUAGUCACAAACAUGCCUAGUUUCUUUGCGGUGGUAAAUUCUGAGGAAUGCAAUAUAAGGGUAGGAUUAUAUUUCCAAAGAUUCUUCCAUCUUGGUUGACAGACACCGCGUCUGUCUUUGUCUACUAUAUAAAUUUAUGUUAAAAAAUUAAAAAAAUGUCCUAUGUUAUAGUGAAUUUUUUAAUUAGAGAUCCCAGCCUAAACCAAUUAGCUAAGAGCAGGUGAGUAGAGCUGUUAAAGGGGCUGGCCUGGUCUGGCCCGGCCCCGAGGGCCCGAACAUUUAAAGGGCCCAGCCGGUCAUGCCCGGGUUGAUAAACAAAAGCCUACAUGGUCCGAUGGACCGGCCCGUUUAAAUUUUUAUUUUUUUAGCAAUUUUUUUUUUAAAUGUAUGAAUGACACACAAAUUAGUAUCCAUAACACAAAAUGGGUAUCAUGAUUUCACAAGAUAAUAAAUAAUGCAAAAUAUCCACGCAAAAAUCAAGAAAUAAUAAAUUCACAAAGUGCACCCUCAAAUCUAAUAAAUUUCAAGCUUACAAUCCUUCAAUUGGGAUUUAUGACUUAACAAUGGAGGAUUCGUCUUCGUCUUGUUCAAAAAAACAAUGGAGGAUUCAUUUGGGUUUAGUCAAAAUUAUAUGAUAAACUAUAACUUGAAUUGAUUCUAAAUAUGUUUGCCUUUAAAUAAGCUUACAAUAGAAAAACAAACGUAAAAAAGAUAAUAACUAACUUAUUUUAAAUUUAUGAUCUUUUAAAUUUAAAAGAUAAUUAUCCUACUAAUAACAAACUUAAAGGGUCAAAAUAUCUUUUUGUUUCAAAAUCAAAAUUUCAGUUUAUUUUUUUUCAAUAUUUUUUUUAAAAAUUCUUUAAGGGGCAGGCCCAAAAGCCCGUGGGCUGGUCCAUGACGGCCCAUGAAAAAGCCUGACCUGAUAAGGCCCAACCCGCAAUUUGUGAAGCCCUACCCGUGUAAAUAUAUAGGGCUAAUAGGCCGGCCCGUUAGCCCCACCCAUUUUGACAGCUCUACAGGUGUGCCGUCAGAUCAAAAGGAUCAUGUAGCAUAGGUAUAGAAUAGAUAUAAUAAAGUUAAAAGAUAUGUUUGAUAAUAUAUUAUAUAUUUUUUUAAGUAUAGAAACUGUUUUUUUUCUUCUUAAUAGAGCUUUUAAAAAUUGUUGUUUAGCCUAACUUCUUACUUAUAUGAAAAAAGAAGAGGAAAAAAGUUAGGUUAAAUAGUACCUAAGGACCACACAAAUUAGUGUUAAUGGAUUGGACAAAAAUAAAGAUUUUUAUUUUCUACCGAACUAUGAGAGACAAUUUUUUGUCUUCUCACAAGUUGUCUAAGAUACCAAAAUAACUUUUUUAUACAUCGAUCAUCGUAGAAGAUAAAAUUUAUUCAAUACCUUAAUAACAUGUGUCAUGUGUUGUUCCGUUUUGUACUGUUAUGUAUUGUUCUGUUUUGUACUGUUAUGUAUUGUUCCGUAAGAAAGUUGUUUUAUAAGUAUUAGAGAAAACAACACUCGUGGCAAGCAAUUCUUAUAAAUAUUUUGCACAAAGACUUUUUUUUUUUGGCUUUCACCACCAGUUUAAUCUGGUUCGGGGGUCGGUUCUGGCAUCAAGUGGUUCCAGCCCCCUCCCGAUCGUAGUUGCAGGGAUCGAACCGUGGUCCUCCCAACCAAGUUCAGCAUCAAUUACCACUGAACCAACUAACGAUUAAAACAAAGGAAACUCAAAAUGAAUAAAAGGAACAAUAGCGUGCCUAAAUCAGACUAGAACGACUUGUAAGCAAAGUAACAUACAUCCCUGCAACUCGCAAUAUGUGAACAAAAGCCACUAAACCUUUGGCUUCUUUGCUGGUGUGAAGCUUACAUUGCUUCCUAUUUUUAACCGAUAAUUUUUCUCUUCAAGGACGAUUCUUCGACCGAGCAAAUCACAUGAUCAACUAUAAAGAAUAAUAAUUAGUUAAGAUAAACUUUUCAGCAAGAACUUCCUACAAUCUUUUUGCUUUGAAAUAAUUACCACGACUAUAAAUUUUUUAAAUAACUACCUAAGGUAGGCGGCAACAGAAGGUUUCAGAGUUUAAUUCAAGUACAUGAUCUAUGAUAACUUCUAUUGACGGCGAGUUUUGAAGCAAGAAGUCCACUAUUCCAUCAGGCAUGCUUAAAGAUGAUUGAUAUGAACAAAUUUGGAAUCUAAGGUAAAGAAAUAGUAAAAUAUAGAAUGGAUGUUGGAAGCAACACACUGUUAUAUUGAUUAUCCUAUAGAAUCAAGGUGAUUCUAUGGUAGAAUUUCAUCAGUCAUUGAUUUCAUCAGUACUUAAUUCAGUGACUUCAACUUACACAAGGAAUAAAACUCCAUCGAUAAAUAUGAAACAAGGGAGAGAACCUGAGCAAUGAAGUGUGAGGAUGAGUUAGGUUCAGUUUAACACAAGUCAAAAUAUUUUAGACAAAAUGUAGAAAUAAAAAAACACAUCUUAAGAAGAAAGUUUAUUAAGCCAGUAGAGUAAAGCCAAAGAGAAAUAAAGCAAUCUCCUGAUACAUGCUCGCUGUGCAAUGAUGACAAUAGUUGCAAAAACACCAUUAUUUUCAGGUUCAGGGACUGCAUUCUGAAGUAGAAUUAUAUUUUUAUUAGAAUAUUUCUAAGAGAAAUUGACUUAUAUAAAUAAUCUCUUGUUCUCAUUCUCAUAUUGAUAUAUAUAUCUAAAUGCAAUUUUAUAUGUAGUUUCUGGAAUGCAAAGUUAUUAUGGAUAAUAACUUUCCAUAACUUUUUGGUUUGGUCUUAUUAUCAAUUUAACAAUACAUAAGCUGUAUAUUCUUGGCUCUUGAGUAAUUAGAUACAUUUUUUGUUCUAAUGCAAAUGUUGGGGAAAAAAAAAACUACUUUUUAUCAAUCAAAUAGGAAAUCAAUAAAAAAAAUCAGUAGUCUAAUGUAUAUCAUCACAUCUAUUCGUAUAUGGAUUUUGCAUGUCUAUAUGCAUCAAAUCUGAUUAUUCAACCAUUGUUGUUAGUUGAGUAGCGGUAGUAGUUUUUAAGUCAGUUCAGAAACAAUUUACAAGUUGAAAACUAGUUCAGAACCAAAACUAAACUAACCAUUUUUGUGUUUAAAACAGUUUGGUUCAAAAGUUUUAAAACCGAUGCAGAGAACCAAAGAAUCAGUUCAGUUUGGUGAACAGUAAAACCGAUUCAAUUUGGUUCAGCUGAAAUGGUUUCCAAUUCGGUUCAGUUUUCUCUGGUGAAUCAAACCAUGACCACUCCUAGUUUGACAGGCAAUUAUGACCGUCGAAUAUCUCAUAACAUGUCUUCCAAAAUGACUUAAUGCAUAUUUCAAAAAUACUCAAGCAACUAAAACAACAAAAUGAACUAAAAUGAACAAUAUAGAGCCUAACCUUUGGCUUCUUUGCCGGUUUGAAACAAGAAGUCCACUAUUUCAUAAGGCAUAUGCUUAAAGAUGAUUUGAUCAGUACUUUCAGUGACUUCAACGUACACAAGGAAUAAAUCUUAAGGUACCUGAAUAGUACCUUAAGGCUAAAGAGCUGUUCUGAUGACAUGUAAAAGCAUCGAUGUUUACUUGUUUAACAGAAGAAAGACCGAUACUGCAUAGUUUAUAUGAAGGGGUGGAGCAGAUAACUGAAGUUUGGAAAUGAGUAUGAAACUAUCAUGCAUGGUUAAAUUGACGAACGUCGCAUUUGAUUUUGCUAGUUGCGAGAGAUUGAACCGCGGUCCUCCCAACUAAGUUCAGCGCCAAUCACCACUGAACGAACCAACAAUUGAAAAUUUUUGGUUAAACUUUGUUUAUCUUGUGAACAAACUCUAGAUUUUCGGGAUUCCCUAGGAACUAGAAUAUUAAUACCAAAAGAAAUAAUAAAUAAUUACUAAAUUUUUUUUUUUGAGAAAAUAAAUAAUUACUAAAUGUUUUCACAUAAAUGAUUCCGUGAGCAUAAUUUGAUUGGUAGUGACAUUGCACGUAAAAUGCAGGGAUCAGAGUUUGAACCUUGAUACUCCCACUAUUUCACCUUAAAAAGUGAAAUUCUAGUCACUAAAUUACUUGGAUAAAAAAGAAGCAAAUGAGAAAUAAUAAUAAUAAUAAUAAUAAUAAUAAUAAUAAUAAUAAUAAUAAUAAUAAUAAUAAUAAUUCAGAUUUCGAUGGGAAUCAAAUGGGAAAUGAUCCUCUCAAUUUUUUCCCUCAAUUUAUACAUCUUAACUAUGGAUAAACUUUUCUUCAUUUUUUUAUAAUUAAAAUAUUAACACAUAAUUUAUAUACAAACAUUAUUGGCAUUCUCGGUAAUGCUGAAAAGCUGUACUGCCUAAGAAAAAAGUUAUAUAUAUUAACUGUUUAAUUGAUAUGCACCGACGGUGUAAAAUACUUUUACACCAUCGUCCAAUAAAUAAUCAUUAUUUUUCCAUGUUAUGUCAAGAAAGUGGGGUGAAGUGGGAUGAUGUGGCAAAAAAUAUGAUUGGUAUUAGUUGACGAUGUAAAAUUAUUUUACACCGUCAGCGGUGCAUAUCAAUUAAAUCCUAUUAACUUUGACCCGACUUCUAUUUUUAUUAAGUAGAAAAGUUUGAAAUAAGCUGGCCCAAACAUAUAGUUUGAUGCAAGCCACUUGAUUUUUGACAAAAGUUGGAAAUAAAUAAAAAUGCAUAUUUUAAGUUAUUGUAGGCUUUAUGGUUGAUUGUUGUCAUUGUUGUAAGACAUAUUUUCAAUUUAAUACUUAUUUUAACCCACUUGGGGUUGGUCUAGUAGUGUUGGCUUAAAUCUUUAGAGUAUGCUCCUCUCAAGGUCUCAGGUUCGAUUCCUCCUGGUGCUAAUUUUGGUGGGAUAAGUUCACACAUAGAAAAAAACUAGCUUUAAAUGGGGUUCCGCAAGUGGGCGGUGGGAUUGGUCUCCUUGGAUUAGUCGGUCAUAGGACCGGAAACGAAGUUUUCAAAAAAAUUUAAUACUUAUUUUAUGAUUAGGAUGAACGAUUUUACUACACUAUUAUUUAAUAUUUAUCACGGAUGAUUUCUAAAAUAUUUACAAGAGGAAUUGGGUAACCGGCAUGAGUGAAACUUCAUAUAAGAUAUGCAAAAGGUAUAAUUUCUGUAACCAUGAUUUAACUACAAAGUUGCAAUUAAAAAAUAUGGUCAUUUACCCUUCUGUGUCGUGAAGUGCAAUCAAAUCAGUCUCUGAGUCGUAGACUCACGUUGGCUAACAGCUAGCGGUGUUAUAUAGUAAGGAUGACACAAAUUGGCAAAAGACACUUUAAACCAAGGUGAUGAGUAAACUGUGGAAAUGAUUUAAAAAGCAUAGAGAUACUUAAGCAAUAACAAUUAAUUAACAGAAUGAAUAACUUUCCUUGAGUACCACACAAUCCUUGUCAUUGAAAGAAAAUCCUUUAACCAGAAAGAGUAUCAUAUCAUGUGAGUUCAACCACUUUAUUUUGAAGUAUUUUUUGGCAAGGAGAGAAGAGAAAGACUUCAUGAUUUUCCUUUUUGUGAGAGUAUUAGAAAUUAUUAUCGCGAAAGGAUUUUGAAAAUUUUCGAAGCACUCCAAAAUCACAGCUAUAGUUUUUUAUUUCAGCCCCUCAUUCCAUCACAAACAAUAUUGGAUCAAGAAAAUGUGAAUAAAUGCAGGAUUCUCUUUUGUGUGAGUGAUGUCAACAAAAAACAUGAAUUAUCAACACCAGAAAACAGAAUUAUAUAAAAACCAAAGAAAUCAUCGAUAAAAAUAUCUAGUAACAACUAAAUGAUUCAUUUAGGCUCCCAAAAACAAAAACACAGACCUAAUGCAUGUCAAAUCGUACAACAUGAUUGAUAUAGUCAGCAUUCGGCAAACUGAUUUCAGUCACUUAUCUGAUAUCUAAUAUCCCAAGGCAUACUUUGAACUACAAUCCAAAAGAAAGGUUGACACAGAAGGCAUUGUAACUUGUAAGGUUGACGCUCUUCAAAGCCCGUUAUCUUGAGGUGGGGAACGGGUGUUGGGUUGGCUCUUCUCAACUGUAUCUUCGUUUGAUGAUGUAUCGAAAGUCAAACUAACAAUAGCAAUAGUCAAAGAAAAAUUUAUCAAUUCAAAAAAUUAACUAGAGUUAAAAUAAAGGAGAAAUAAACAAUAGUUGAAUAUGAAAGAUACUAAAUCUCAUAAAAUAAAACAAAGGAAACAUUCUAAACAGUAGGCAUACUUCAAAAGUAUCACACAACUAAAAGAAAGGAAACUUGCAAAAGUUUCCAAAUUUCAUUUUUAAUUUUAACUGGAAUAUCUCUCAGGCCUUGAAUGAUGCUUAUCAAACAGGUUACAAUAAUACAAUUCCAUUUGAUCCUUCUGAGGAUGAGUUUCUUUGGAAACAUAAUUCUGGUAUUCUGACCCUCAAAGAUGCUUAUAUUUUCCAAUCUCCUCCUCGUCAGAAGAUUCCUUGGGCUAAAUUGAUUUCAAGCUCUUCUAUCACUCCUUCUAAAUCUCUUCUUCUUUGUUGAACCUUGCAUAACAAGAUUCCUACUGAAUGCUAAUAGCUGGUGCUUUCUUGUCCCUCAGGUUAUUAUAGGGCUGACUAUUCUAGAAAUAGAUUAGUUAUUCCUUACUUUCGUUUUUUUAACCUUUAAGAGGGUUUUGGUUUGGCCCCCCUCCUUUCUCUUUUUAUUUCUCUGAUAUUUAGGGCUCCGCAGUUAUCCUGCAACCCAUCUUUUGUCUUAAAAAAAAGAGUAAACUUUAUUUUUUUUGUUAAAAAAUGAAAAAUAGAGUCUCAAAGUUAUGAAUGAAAACCACAAAAAUUGUGGCCUCUUUGCGAGUUUGAUGUUUCACUUGCUUCCUAUUUUUCAAUCGAUAAUCCUCUGCAAGAAUAAGUCACUGCCUAAAGAAAUGACAUAUCAACUAAAGAAAAUCACAAGAUCAAGUAUAAAGAAUAGUUUACCGUAGUUUGGUGGGCCAUUUCAUCCGACUGCAUACUUUCAGUGUCUUCAAGUUACACAACAAUGAAGGGAGUUUAGCCUUGAAUAAAUCAGGAACUAAGAAGAGAAUCUGAGCAAUUAGGGAGAAUUAUGAUUAGGUUGAUGCAAGUCAGUUGAUUUUUGACAAAAUUUGUUUAUGAAAUAAAAAAACAUCUUAAGAAGAAAGUAAACAUGAAACCUCAAAACAUAGCAAGUUAAUGUACCUUAAGAUUACUCGCAGUGACUGUCAAUGAUUUUGUAUUAAUAAGGUCCUGCGGCCAGCUGAAUAGAACAAAAGGAAGCUCCUCAAAUGUAUUUGAAAAUAUGUCCGCUUCAAUAUUUACUUGUUUAAUUGAAGAAAGACUGCUUCCACACAGUCUCUGAUGAGGAACACCAUCAAAAGUAAUGGUAUAAAGACUAGGAGCGAAUAACUCAAUUUUGGUAAAGUCAGAUGAAUUAUUAGACAUAGCUAAAUUGACAAGGGUUGAACUUGAUAUUCUUAGAAUCGGGGCAUCCAUUACAGUACAAUUAGAAAUGAUCAAAUUAUUUAAGCAAUUAAAUGAUGAAAAGGGUUCGGCAUGAUCAGCAAUGUCGCUAGCACAAAAUGCAAAAUAAGUUAGAUCCAAGCUAGUCAAUGCUGGCAAAUUCAGAGAUUUUGGAAAUAAUGUUCUUUUCCCAUUACUAUAAAGACCUUUAGGGUAAACACAAAGCUUAAGAGACGUAAGAGCCUGGCAUGAAGAAAUGCGAGGAAAAAUGAUACUACUAUCACCUUUAACACAGAUUCCUAAUUGCUUGAGUUGGGUAUUAUGGGAACAAGCAUAGUUUACAAUCUCUUUGAGAGUCCGUUGAGGUUCAAAACUGCCCAAACGCUCAAAAUCGAGAGUGUGCAGUGAAGGUGUGGUGGUAUCACGAAGAUUCAAAAUCUUAGUCACAAAUAUGGCUAAUUUUUUUGCAUUGGAGAAUUCUGAGGAAUGCAAUAUAANNNNNNNNNNNNNNNNNNNNNNNNNNNNNNNNNNNNNNNNNNNNNNNNNNNNNNNNNNNNNNNGGAGAACACAAUCAGGUAAGUCACUCAACCUAUCUUCAUUCUCUUCAUUAUUAUCAUGCCUCCCUCUCUUGUUGUCGGGUGGAAUCAUUUUCUCAUGCGCUAAACUAGACAUUACAACUCAGAUAACUACCGGUACCUGCACAAGCAUAAACGGAAAAAACAAUGUGGAAUCAUUUUCUGCAAUAUUAUACAACGGAUCACGAAUUUGAGUUACAAAGAGAAUCAAAUCUACGGCGAGCUUUCAAAUCUCAUCAAAGUCAUACUAGAUUGCAAUUGGGAAAAUGGAUAGGAACGGUGGAAAGAGGUGCUAGAUUGCAUACCUUGAAAUUGACGAUUUACACAUCCAAGCAAACACUUCGCUCUAUUUCGUACGGGAUAGAAACGGUGAAGUGAGGUCUACAGACUGGUUCAUAGAACCAGUUUUCUAGGGUUCCAACAAAAUGCAUUAGUUUAGACACUAAACUAUUUGACCAACAAAAAAGAAGAAUUACCAACAUUUGAUUGGUCCAUUUGCUGCCACAUCAUAUCAAAAUAUGUCAUGUAUGCAUAAUUUUAAGUAUUUGAGUCCAAUUUCAGAAAUUGAAAAAAAUGAGAGGCCAAAAUUGGGAAAUUUAAAAUGUGGGGACCAAAAUUCAGAAAUCGACAAAUAAGGGGAUCAAAACUGCAAUUAAACCAUUUGGUUCCGUUUUCUUUGGUGAAUCAAACCAUGACCACUAAUUUGACAAGCAAUUCUUAUAAAUAUUUUGCACAAAGACUCUAGGAAGCAUGCAUAUUUCAAAAUAAUCAAGCAAUUAAAACAAAGGAAACUCAAAAUGAAUUAAAAGGAACAAUAGAGUGCCUAAAUUAUGCUUUUAUUUAUAAAUCAGACUAGAACGACUUGUAAGCAAAAUAACACACAUACCUUUUGCUUCUUUGCCAGUUUGAAGCAAGAAGUCCACUAUUCCAUCAGGCAUGCUUAAAGAUGAUUUGAGAAACUUUAACUUACACCAGGAAUAAAUCUUAAGCUAUAUCAUGUGAGUUCAACCACUUUAUUUUGAAGUACAUUUUGGCUAGGAGAGAAGAGAAAGACUUCAUGAUUUUCCUUUUUGUGAGAGUAUUAGAAAUUAUUAUCGUGAAAGGAUUUUGAAAAUUUUCGAAGCACUCCAAAAUCACAGCUAAAGUUUUUAAUUUCAGCCCCUCAUUCCAUCGGAAACAAUCGCGUAUCAAGAAAAUAUGAAUAAAUGCAGGGUUCAACUUUAGUACGAGUGAGAUCAACAAAACACAUGAAUUAUCAAGAUCAGAAAACAGAAUUAUAUAAAAACCAAAGAAAAUAUCUAGUAACAACGCAAUAAUUCAUUUAGGCUCCCAAAAUCAAAACAACACACCUGUUCAUACAGAGAUAAGGACCAAUAUAACGGGACUAGUACAUGAUUCGUACAUAAUUAAAUGGCCAAGACAUACUCUAUGCAGGUUCCUCCAUCAGUAUAUUGGAAUUUAGCAUUAAAUUGGAGACUAUCAGAUGGAAUAAUCUCGCCAAUCUCAAAAAGACUUCAUGUGAAUGAUCCGUUGCAUGUCAAAUCGUACAAGGUCAGUAUAGUCAGCACUCAGCAAACUGAUACUUUCAGUCACUUAUCUGCUAUCUAAUAUCCCAGGGCAUACUUUGAACUACAAUCCAAAAGAAAGGUUGACGCAGAAGGCAUUGUAACUUGUAAGGCAAUACUGUUGAUGAGCACUCUUCGAAGCCCGUUAUCUUUGAGGUUGGAUGUGGGUGUUGUGUUGACUCUUCUCAACUAUAUCUUCAAUUGAUGAUGUAUCAAAAGCCCAACAAGUAGCUAAAUCUAUCAACUCAAAAAACUUCACAAGAGCUAAAACAAAGGAAACAUAUACAACAAUUGAAUAUGAAAGAUACUGAAUAUCAUAAGAUGUUUUUCCAAAAACACUCUAGGCAGUAGGCAUAUUAUGAAUAGUACCACACAACUAAAACAAAGUUAACUUUAUUGUUUAUUUUAGAAAAUGAACAAUAGAGUGCCUAAAUUAUGAAUGAAAGCCACAAAAACCGUGGCCUCUUUGUGGGUUUGUAGUUUCAUUUGUUUCCAAUUUUUAAUGGAUAGUCCUUCUCUUCAAGAAUAAGUCACUGACUAAGCAAAUGACGUAUCAACUAAAGCAAAUCACAAGAUCAACCACAAUGAAUAAUGUACCUUAGUUUGGAGGUCCGUUUUAACUGAAUGCAUAAUUUACUGCGGACCCCUGUAAUCGAUGAUGUCAACUUCUGCAGAUGGUGAGUUUUGAAGCAAGAAGUGUACUACCCCCUUAGGUAUGAUUACAAAUGGUUCAUCUGCUUCUUUGAGAAGUAUCUUGUAAGCUUCUUUACGCGACUUGUAUUUAAACACAACUUCUUUCCUUACAUAAGAUGAUAAUCCAAGAGUGCGUGGUUUCAGUUCUACUUUCAGUGACUUCAAGUUACGCAAGGAAGGGAGUUUAACCUUGAAUAAAUCAGGAUCUAAGGAAAGAAUCUACGCAAUUAGGGAGGAUUACGAUUAGUUUGAUGUAAGCCACUUGAUUUUUGACAGUAUUUGGAUUAUUUUUUUUUAUAAAAAAACAGUAUCUUACUAAGAAAGUAAACAUGAAACCUCAAAACAUGGCAAGUUCAGGUACCUGAAGAGUAUAUGCAUUGACGGUCAAUGAUUUUAUAUUAUCAAGGUCUUGCAGCCAGCUGAAUAAAAACAAAUAAGGCUCCCCAAUUCUUGAAAAUAUGUCUACAAGAAUAUUUACUUGUUUAACUGAAGAAAGACUGCUUCCACACAGUCUCUGCUUAGGAGUACCGUAAAAAGUAAUUGUAUGAAGACUUGGAGCGGAUAGCUCGAUUUUGGUAAAGUCGGACGAGCUAUUACUACGCACAGUUAAAUGUACAAUGGUGGCACUUGAUAUGGUUAUCCCUUACACUACAUCUAGAAAUGAUCAAAUUAUUCGGUAUGUUAAAAGAUGAAAAUGGUUCGGCAUGAUCAGCAUUGCCAUUUGCGCAAAAGGAGAAAUUAGAUAGAUCCAAGCUAGUCAAUGCUGGCAAAUUUAGAUACUUCGGAAAUAAUGUUUUUUCAUCAUUAUAAGGACUAUUAGGGUAAACACAAAGCUUAAGAGACGUAAGUCCCUGACAUGAAAAAAUGCGGGGAAAAAUGAUACUACUACUAUCAUCUGAAACGGAGAUUCCUAGUUGCUUGAGCUGGGUAUUAUGGGAACAAGCAUAGUUCACAAUCUCUUUGAGGGUCCGUUGAGGCAUAAAACUGUUUGUGAGUAUGCAGUGCAGUCGAGGUAUCCCGAAGAGUUAAAAUCUUAGUCACAAACAUGCCUAGUAAUUCCGAGGAAUGCAAUACAAUCGGGUAAGUUACUAAGUCUAUCUUCAUUAUCAUCAUGCCUUGCUCUCUUGGUGUUGUGUGGAAUCAUUGAGAACACGAAUUUGAGAAAAAAUAAAUAAAAUCUCAGCAAAGUCAUGGUAGAUUACAAUUGAAAAAAAAGAAAAGUUGAGAAAAUACCGUGAAAUUGAAAUUAACGAUUUAUGGGUCCAAGGAGUGGAAAAGAACGGUAGAGAAGGUUUACAGAGAGUUGGGGUCAUACAACCAGUUUUGUAU
rnacentral:lncRNA from 1 species